GCCUGGCUGGCUCAGUCAGUAGAGCAUGUGACUCUUGAUCUUGGGGUCAUGAGUUCAAGCCCCAUGUUGGGGG
rfam:Felis catus breed Abyssinian Contig132803.1, whole genome shotgun sequence. [26-MAY-2016]